CGUGAAAUCGUUGAAGUGGAACCGGAGAGAGUUGACGUAGUAUGGUGGAUAAGUAUUGCAAGAAUCGCUUCAAACAAUGAAUGUGAUCGAGUAAUAUGUACGUCACCAAAGACUGCGCUGACAGCAUCGACUACACGCUCUGAACUGUGUUGACAUGUUGCCUAUUCUAGUAUAUAGAAUGGUGUCUUGUGUUACGUGGUGAAGUUUGUUGUUAUGUUGUUGAUGUUGAUAAUUAUGAUUAUACAUCGAGUAUAAUUAUGUCAGUGUAAAAGUCAACCACCUCUCCGACCCGUCUUGAAACACGGACCGAGGAGUGUAACUUGUACGCGAGUCAUUGGGUGGAAAAACCUUAAGGCGAAACGAAAGUGAAGGCACGGUUAACCGGCUGACAUGGGAAACGUGCGGUAUUGUUAGCGAGACGUUACACCAUGGCCCUGUCUUGUCUGCAUGCAGAUGGGCAGCGGUAGAGCGUACAGGUUGCGACCCGAAAGAUGGUGAACUAUGCCUGAGCAGGACGAAGUCAGAGGAAACUCUGGUGGAAGUCCGUAUCGGUUCUGACGUGCAAAUCGAUCGAUAGAC
rnacentral:rRNA from 1 species